CCCCCCGGUGGGUGUCCUGUCAACCACGUGACCCGUCACUCCGCUCGAUUCCCUCACUCGACGUCCCCAGCGAGGCCCAAUUGGGGCUGGAUCGGGAGGGCCUCCGUCAACCUUUCCAGUCGCCCAUCACAGUCAUCCAAGCCCCUUGGAGGAGGAGGGAGUGAAGAAGUGAGUUGUCUGUCUCCCCCCGCUAGCCCCCUGCCAUCGUGUUCGGUGCUUCCUAAGCCAACAGAGGUCAUUAGAGCUCCACCGGUCAAGAUCCACCCUUGGAAACGGGCCCGGAAUACAGAAGGGAGGGAUGGGG